GGAGAUAUGGCUCAGUUGGUAGAGUGCUUGCCUAGCAUGCAUGAGGCUAUGGGUUCAAGUCUCAGCACCA
rnacentral:tRNA from 1 species